CCUGGUGGCUCGGAUAGUAAAAGCAUCUGCCUGCAAAGCGGGAAACCCGGGUUCAAUUCCUGGGUCAGGA
rnacentral:tRNA from 1 species